rnacentral:lncRNA from 1 species
CAUGCAAUCAGCAUUAGGGUUUUAAACCUUAAACUGAAUUUUCCUUUUAGUCAGCAUUAGGGCUUUGAACCCUAAACUGAACUUUUUCCUCUCAGCCAGCAUUAGGGUUUUAAACCCUAAACUGAGCUUUUCCAUGCUAUCAGCAUUAGGGUUUUAAACCCUAAACUGAAUUCUUCCUUUGUUCGGCGUUAGGGUUUUAAACCCUAAACUGAACCUUUCCCCAACUAGUCGGUAUUAGGGCUCCAACCCUGAACUGAGCAUGCAUAUCCUCUUUCAUCAAUUUUAUGAACUUCCUGGCGAAUAAUUAACGAGAUUUUCCUAGUGAAACUGGGGCAAAAAAUUUCGUUCGUUUGUUUUUCUCCCGCAGGUCUGACCUCGAGCCACAUGGAUCGAAAUGACCCACGAGAUGACUCCCAGUUCGGAAUCAAAGAAGAAAAAGAAAAAAAAAAGAAAAAAAGAAGAAGAUGUCCCGAGAUAUCGGAGUAAAUGGAAAGCAGAUUGACUCCAACAUUUGAUUAAGGUCCUGAACCCUGCCGAUCGCGUCUCACUCAGUAUCCCAGAGGUUAAACAAGUCACCGCAACUCGCAAGCAUCAAGAUUCAGAUCGGAGUCUACAAGCAGAAUCAGCUAAGACCCAAGAUCAAGUCGUAAAAGAAUCAUAGAUAGGAAUCUUGUAACUAGCAGUUGACAUGCAUAUAAGUAGUUAGUUCAGUUUCCAAUUUUCGUUUGGUUGUAAUAAGGCGGUCAGUGACGCAGCAGUGACAACAGCAACAGCAGUAGCAGCAAGCAUUG